rnacentral:rRNA from 1 species
UACGAGGGGGGCAAAUGUUGUUCGGAAUCACUGGGCGUAAAGGGAGCGUAGGCGGGUUUCUAAGUCAGGUGUUUAAUCCCGGGGCCCAACCCCGGACAGGCACUUGAAACUGGGAAUCUUGAAUAGUGGAGAGGUCAGUGGAAUUGGGGGUGUAGCGGUGGAAUGCGUAGAGAUCCCCAAGAACACCAGUUGCGAAGGCGGCUGACUGGACACAGUAUUGACGCUGAGGCUCGAAAGCAUGGGGAGCAAACAGGG